GUGGGGAAUUUUCCGCAAUGGGCGAAAGCCUGACGGAGCAAUACCGCGUGAGGGAGGAAUGCCUUUGGGUUGUAAACCUCUUUUCUCAGGGAAGAAGAUCUGACGGUACCUGAGGAAUAAGUAUCGGCUAACUCCGUGCCAGCAGCCGCGGUAAUACGGAGGAUGCAAGCGUUAUCCGGAAUCAUUGGGCGUAAAGCGUCCGCAGGUGGUUUCCAAAGUCUGCUGUUAAAGACUGGAGCUCAACUCCGGAACGGCGGUGGAAACUUGGAAACUAGAGUUCGGUAGGGGUAGCAGGAAUUCCCAGUGUAGCGGUGAAAUGCGUAGAUAUUGGGAAGAACAUCGGUGGCGAAGGCGUGCUACUGGACCGUAACUGACACUCAGGGACGAAAGCUAGGGGAGCGAAAGGGAUUAGAUACCCCUGUAGUCCUAGCUGUAAACGAUGGAAACUAGGUGUGGCUUGUAUCGACCCGAGCCGUGCCGUAGCUAACGCGUUAAGUUUCCCGCCUGGGGAGUACGCACGCAAGUGUG
rnacentral:rRNA from 1 species